GACGAACGCUGGCGGCGUGCUUAACACAUGCAAGUCGAACGGAAAGGCCCUGCUUUUGUGGGGUGCUCGAGUGGCGAACGGGUGAGUAACACGAGCGUGACCUGCCCUUGACUUUGGGAUAACUUCAGGAAACUGGGGCUAAUACCGGAUAGGAGCUCCUGCUGCAUGGUGGGGGUUGGAAAGUUUCGGCGGUUGGGGAUGGACUCGCGGCUUAUCAGCUUGUGGGUGGGGUAGUGGCUUACCAAGGCUUUGACGGGUAGCCGGCCUGAGAGGGUGACCGGCCACAUUGGGACUGAGAUACGGCCCAGACUCCUACGGGAGGCAGCAGUGGGGAAUAUUGCACAAUGGGCGGAAGCCUGAUGCAGCAACGCCGCGUGCGGGAUGACGGCCUUCGGGUUGUAAACCGCUUUCGCCUGUGACGAAGCGUGAGUGACGGUAAUGGGUAAAGAAGCACCGGCUAACUACGUG
rnacentral:rRNA from 1 species